rnacentral:rRNA from 1 species
AUGGCCAAACUGCUCUCCUCCGCCUCGUCUCACGAGCUGCUCGCCCUGCCACCGGCCGUCUCCCUCCCCGUUGUCGACCUCUCCCUCAGUCAUGACGAGGUCCGCCGCGCCAUCCUCGACGCCGGCAAGGAGCUGGGCUUCUUCCUGGUGGUCAACCACGGCGUUCCUGAGCAUGCGAUGCGGGACAUGGAGGCAGUGUGCGAGGAGUUCUUCCGCCUCCCGGUGCUGGACGUGGCACCCUUCUACUCGGACGACAGACGCAAGCCCAACCGGCUUUUCUCUGGCACCACCUUCAACACCGGCGGCGACAAGUACUGGCUGGACUGCCUCCGCCUUGCCUCCACCUUCCCCGUGGGAGACAGCAAGAAUCACUGGCCCGAUAAGCCCCAAAGCCUUCGAGAGGUUGUCGAGACGUUCUUCCUGCUGACAAGAGGUGUGGGCAUGGAGCUACUGCGGCUUCUGAGCGAGGGAAUGGGGCUCCACCCUAACUACUUCGAUGGGCCCCUCAACUGCGGUGAUACCACCAUCUCCCUCAACCAUUACCCAAGGUGCUCGGACUCGAGCCUCGCGCUCGGGCUACCGCCACACUGCGAUCGGAACCUCAUCACCCUACUCCUACCUGGUGUAGUCCCCGGUCUCCAAGUCUCCUACAAGGGUGAUUGGAUUAACGUCGUAACCAACGGGGUGCUGAAGAGCAUAGAGCACCGGGUGAUGACUAAUUCGGUGAUGCCACGAAUGUCAGUGGCGGUUUUCAUCGAGCCGGAUGCGGACUGCCUCAUCGGGCCCUCAGAGGAGUUCAUUGGCGAAGGAAACCCCAUGCGCUACCGUUCCCUCACAUACCGUGAGUUCUUGCGCGUCCACAAUGUUGUAAAGCUGGGCUCAUCGCUCAAUCUUACAACCAAUCUCAGCAACUCUCAACAAACACAAGACAAAAAUACAUGA